rfam:Hordeum vulgare subsp. vulgare, WGS project CAJW01000000 data, contig: morex_contig_76250
UUUCUACUUCCUCCGUCUUAAAAUUCUUGUCUUAGAUUUGUCUAGAAAUGAAUGUAUCUAAAUACUAAAAGGUGACUAGAUACAUUCAUAUGUUGACAAACCUAAGACAAGAAUUUUGGGACGGAGGGAGUACUAA